rnacentral:rRNA from 1 species
UACGAAGGGGGCUAGCGUUGUUCGGAAUUACUGGGCGUAAAGCGCGCGCAGGCGGCCUUUCAAGUCAGUGGUGAAAGCCCGGAGCUCAACUCCGGAACUGCCAUUGAAACUGUUUGGCUUGAGUACGAGAGAGGUGAGUGGAAUUCCCAGUGUAGAGGUGAAAUUCGUAGAUAUUGGGAAGAACACCGGUGGCGAAGGCGGCUCACUGGCUCGUAACUGACGCUCAGGCGCGACAGCGUGGGGAUCAAACAGG